rnacentral:rRNA from 1 species
UACGUAGGGGGCAAGCGUUGUUCGGAAUUACUGGGCGUAAAGCGCGUGUAGGCGGCUAGAUAAGUCUGCUCUGAAAGCCCGGGGCUCAACCCCGGGAGGCGGGUGGAUACUGUCUAGCUCGAGUCCGGAAGAGGAGCGUGGAAUUCCUGGUGUAGCGGUGAAAUGCGCAGAUAUCAGGAGGAACACAGAUGGCGAAGGCAGCCCCCUGGGCUGACACUGACGCUCAGGCACGAAAGCGUGGGGAGCAAACAGG